AUGCCGAAAUACAUUUUUCCGUCUUCGUCGUCAGUUUCGAAAUGAGUUAUUUGCUGCUCUGAAUUUGUCAUCAGUUUCCUUCAACUAAUUGAGUUCUUUGCUGCUCUUAAUUCAUCAUCGGUUUCCUUGAUGGUGAGUAAGUAGGCGCUAAUUUCUUCACCAAAUUGACUGAAUUUAAUGCAAUUUAUUUUUUGCUUUCUCGCAUAUGGCCUCAGUCUAUGGUCAGUUUGUAGAAUUUGUGAUAAUCUCUAUGCCAACAUUCUUAUUUUUGUUGUCAAUUGAAUAUUUGAAUGUUGCAAAUUUAAACGAAACAUGAUGCAGCCACGAAGAUUUCCACUUAUUUUACCUUCACACUACAAUACUACAUAUUAGCUUAUGUUAGAACCCAGCCAUGAUAGACACUGUAACAGCCUUCAUUUCUCUUAGUUGUAACUUCAUUUACUCAGUUUUAUUUAUCAAACAAAUAGACUUUGUAAUUUUACCAAAUAGGGGAGUUGCAGCUGCUUUGUUUUCACGUCUAAAGGCGAAUAGAUAAAAUGAGACUUCACUGCACAGAGAAAACGAUCCCUUUCCUUUUUGUAGUUCAUUUGCCUUUUAUACGGUCAAAUUUGUUUGAUGGACGCUAAAUCUUUCUUCGCCCAAUUAGUGGAUAACAAAGUGGUGGAUGCAUAUUGUCUACCUAGGCAGCUACUUUCUAGAUUCUGAAACUGUUUAUGUUAUACCAUCUGUAAAUUCCUUUCUUAACAUGAUGUGAUUUUUAAUUCAAUUUAUUCAAUUCGCAUGUCCGUGCAGAUUAAUGUUUUCAGCUGACCAACAAACAUCUGGACAACAAAGUGAGCUAUUUAUCUUGCAUUAAUACACUUAAAUUACAUCUAGAAUUUAUAGAGUUGUUUUAGUUCAAAACGGUUUGAGCUUGACCCCAAAAUGUUCCACUAGCACUUGGCAUUGGAUUUUAUUUCAGUACAAGAGGAAUGCGAUCUGCUACCCAACCACUUUGUUGCCUUUUGUACUGAAAGUGUAACCUGUCACACUAACAAGCUGACUGCUACCAAGGCGAGCAUAUUGAGUUUUUGGCCUGUCUAUGGUAAUGGCUGACUUACCACGUUUUUUCACUAUGCCACCAGAUUGAACAUUUUGUUUAGAAUCCAUCUUUGUGUGUGUGAUUGGUUUAUAGUUUAUAGGUGCUUUGUAAAUUCUCUGUUCUAUUCUCUUCUUUGGCAGGCCCUUCUUUGCUUGCUGAGCGCAUCUGAUCUCGACCAUGGUAGGUGUGGUUCUGUGCAUUUAUGGGUACAUGGUAUUGGCAAACUCAUGAUUUCUGUUAUUCUUUCCUCACUCUUUUGUGCUUAAUCAGUUCCAUAGGCGCUUUGCGAAAUCUCUAUGCUAUUAUUAUUCUCUUCUUUCGGGCAAGACCUUCUUUGAUUGACAAGUUCAUCUAAUCUCAACCAUGGGAAAUUGGCAAGUGUGGCUCUGUACACUUUUGGCUCGAUGAUUUUAGCAAACUCCUGAUUUUUAUUUUUAUUUAUUUCAUUCUUCUUUAUAUGAAUAAAGAUAAUGGAUUACAUACGAAUGAGAGUGGGGAAGAGUAGUAGUAGUUGAUUGUUUAUAUGUUAGUAUAGCAGUCUAAUAUAGAUGACUAUAUUUGAAAACUGGAGAUCUAUACCAGAAACAAGCAUAUGUAAAACACUAUUCCAUAUACAGCACUUGACUCAAUCAUCUUCCUCGGGUAUAAUAUUUAAUAUAGUUAUGUCUGCCUGCAUAUUUAGAUACACUAAAGAUGGUAAUAAGAGAGUUCUGAAAUGAUAAGCUUGGCUCAUAUAAAUCGAGAAUUCAUUCGUGUCGCU
rnacentral:lncRNA from 1 species